CUAAACAUUGCAUAGUAUAGGAUUCUGUUCCCAUUUGCUGGUCUGAAAAUCCAAACAAUAGUGAGGGCUGAAAAAUUUCCAGCACUGGCAUAAUCUCAAUGCCAUUGACAAAAGCAAAAAGGUCAUUGUAUGUGGAUGACAUUGUCAAUGUGAGAUUGAGGAUACUGGAUUUUGUCGUCAUCAUAGUGAAAUCUCUAACUAUAUAAGCCUAUGUAAGUGCUUGAGUAGUAAUGGAUGCACUGAAAUUGUUAAGAAUGAAAUUACUUGUAGUUACAAAGAAAAAACUUAGGAGCGAUCAAAGAAAAUGUAAGACGAUGGGUAAAAUGAAGUCUCAUCCAGUAACGGAAAAUGGGAGAACAGAGAAUUUGAAAAAUUGCAGUCAUGUACGGAAUGGUGGAAGGCAAUGAAGAAUCUUGAGACUCAACAAUGGAGGACGCAGAGUUAUAUGAAGAGAUGAAAAUUUUGGUAUCGAGAAUGAAUGAUGAUGGUGCAAGCAAAGACUGAGAAUGAGGUUUUGUGAUCUAGGGCAAUAGAGACAGAACAAAAAUUAUAGGUGGAGGCAAAGAUGGUGGAGAAAUUGGUUGGGGUAGUUGGAUCAAUUUGGAGUUUUAAAAACCUAUUAAAUACUGUCUUAGGAGGUUUUACUUUGUUUUAGGGUACUAAUCUAAUUUGUUGCUUUUUUAGAGUAGAGGGCCUAAUUUCCUCUUUAGGAUUUCUGAUUCAUUUGUUCACGUAAUUCCAUUCCUGUAACCCCACCAUUCCUUUGCAAACCAUUUCAAAGAAUUUCCAAAAAUCAAAAAUUAAAAUCCCUAAAUCUUUACCUUGUCCCUACCCAUAGCCGCCGGCCGAAUGGAACCGCUGAUUGUCGACUCACUGUUGGCCCUUGAGUGACGGACUCUCACCGAUUCAUCGCCUCACGCCUGGCUGUCAACUUGGGUUAGGUUUUACGGUAAGCAAUCUGCGUUAUUAUGUUGAAAUUUCUAGGUGCUAGCAAUUUCUUGGGGAAAGAUGACCUGAUUAUAAUGGACCUCGACGGUUUGCCUUUAUGUUAUAAUUGCUUGCUGCAUUACAAUUGCGUUCUGGUUGUUGAGUAGUUAACAUAAUGUUGUCAAAAACUAUGCUUCGCCACUAUUUCUCUUUGCUAGUUAGUUCAGAAAUUACAAAUAGGCAUAAUCCUGUGUUGCUAUGGAACUGUGGGCGAGAAAUCUUAGAUGUUUCCUCACUAUUUAUAUACUGAAUCUUGUGUAAGAUCUGCGUUCUUUUAUUUUUAUAAAAUCAAUGAUAAUUUAAAUUUUAUAAAAAUGAAUAAGUUGAGUCUCUUGUAAGUUUGAUCGUGACAAUACUGUCUCUACUGGGAAAAUUUUAUUGUGCUUCCAUGUUUAUUUAAAAUUUCUUCAUCUUUGUGCGAGAUGGGUACCAUGGACUUCUCACUUUACCUCUAUUGGGAAUAUCACCCUUGCUAUUAAUCUGAUCAGGGAAUCCUAUCCUUAAUACCAAUUUGGCGUAAAAUGACAUUUUGUUGUGAAAUUUUGGCCUCCGACGAAUUGGUGUAAUGAAGUGUUGCAUGCACCAAAUCAGGUGCGAUGAUGUUCAUUUGGUGUAAUAUAGAGUUUUUAUUUAUUUAUUUUGGGCUUCAUUUUAUACUACAAAAAAAUUUUAUUUUGUUGCUUUACGUGCUAGUUAAUUUUAUUAGUGAGUUUGACAAAUGGAAUUCUUUUUUAAUAAAAUCAAUUAAUGGUAUUGAAGCAUUUAUUUAUUUAAAGUGGAAAUAUAACUGAGUGUGAGUAAAUGCAAUUGAUGGGAUUGAAAUUAUUAUUAUUAUUAUUUUCUUGCGUGUGGUUGCACCAAACAUAGUUAAUGUGUUGAAUUAUGAAUUAAAGUUGAAUGAGAAGCACCGAAAUGUGCAUGUGCUUUUACUAAAAUUGGGAGAUUGAAAAUUGAAAAAGAUCUCCAACUAAUUGAGUAUGCUUUGCAUAAAUACUUUGGUGGAAAAUUGCAUUUACUAUUUAUUAAUUUAUUGCUUUUCUUUAAGAAUGGGAUUAAACAGUAAAUGAACCGUUUAAUGAUUUAGUUGAUCUCUCUCAAUAAAGGAUUAAAAUUACUUAAUUAAGGUUGAUUAAUUAAGAUUUGAUUAUUAUGUUGACGAGGAAACGUCUUUUCAGCUAGAUAAUGACAUUCAAAUAUUUCUUGAUUUGACUGAUAAAUAAACAUUAGUCUAAUAUCAUAUGCUUGAAAAUUAUGCAAAACCUGGACAAGUUUUAGAGAAGAAAUUUGGGAAGUCUAUUCUUUUUGGAAAAAUGUGGACAAUAUUUCUCUAUCCAACUAUACUCAUGGACGUCUUCUAAGCUUUGGUUUUUUCACUUUUAAAUUGUUGGACAGUAGGAAAUCUUUGUCAUUUUUAAGCCAAUUGUUAAUAUUAAUAUUUAUUUAUGCAGAAUUAGUAAUUCUUAGUUUUUUGGGAUUUUUUUGUUUAAUUGUAGGUGAAGCAUUUUGAUUCUUAGAACUACUGUGCUACUUUUUUUUUGUCUAUGUUGCCCUGUCGACUUAACGAUUAUUGUUGUAAAAUUUUAUUUUGAUUGUCGUUAGAGCAAUAUCACUGAUUGAUUGAUUUAUUUGGCAAGGUGUACAUGCAAACGCAUACUUCUUCUUUGCCAAAGGAGAAUUGCUUUUAUACCUAAGAUAUAUUGCGGCAAUUUUCUUCUUUCUACUAUUUCACCGUUGUCCUGUUGAUAUCUGUUAGUUGGAACUUAAUCCUGCACGUCUAGUUUUUGAAUAUUGCGAUGUUCAGUGUUGGAUAGUAGCUUUGCGUAUGAUGGACAAAGAGUGGUUGCACUUAUCAAAGUUAUCAUCUGAAAUUAGAUCUUAUAAACCUAGUUACCAAAUGAAAAUAAUUUCAAUGUAUAAUGAUGAUAAAUAUAUACUCGUAGAUUUUCAAGACCAUAUAGCGAUGGAGCACAUAAUUUUAUUGAACGAGCUCAUAAAAAAUGCAAUUCAGAAAUGAUAGUAUGUCCUUGUGUUAAGUGUAGGAAUCAAAUGCAUCAUCAUUAUGAUACAGUCUAUGAACAUUUAGAAAUGAUAGUAUGUCCUUGUGUUAAGUGUAGGAACAUUUGGUUCAAUUAAGCAUAAUUUGAUUUAUUAGUUAUAUCACUUGCUAGUAUUUGAUUUGAGUUCCAUAAGUGCAGAAAAGGAUUGAAGAUUGUGCCACAUCAAUUUUCGAUAUGCUUGCCAAAGAUUCCAUCUGUGAUGAUGCUAUCACUUGAGUUUUAGGUCCUGAACAUCAUGGGAGACUUAGGGGACUCGGAUUUGGAGUUGUACCAUCAAAGGUGGAUGGACAAAUACAAAGUAGGGGAAGAGUUAGAGAACUUGAAAGCCAAUUACAGAUUCAAGCACAAAGGGUGGGGGCAUUAGAAGAAAAAAUGGAAGCAUUUAUCAAAUUUUCUCAGCAGGCUAUAAGUAGUUAUUUUUUAUAUAUUUCAUGAUUAUAUAGCUUUAUAUAGCCAAUUACAUGAAUAAUAAUUUUGUAAUUUUUGUAUCAUUAUACAGAAUGUGGAGGAUAGAAAUUCAAAUGCUUUUACUCAGGUUUCCGUUUCCUAUAUUAUUAAAUGUUUAUUUAAUAUAUAUUCAGUUUGUAGCAUUCUAAUUUUAAAAAGAAUACUUUCUGUUUAUUAUGAAUUUGUAGUCACACCAAGGAAGUACUACCCCCAAGACAAAUGCAAGAUGUCAACUGUUACAUUGGUACAUGUUUGAGGAGGAAUAAGUCGUCGCAGAAGGGAAGAUUGCCACAACAGACCCAAGUGCAAAGGUGCAUCACUCGCCACUCGAUCGAGACUGUUGAAUGGUUUGGCUUGAGGAAGUCUAUAUGGGUAAUUUGACUUCAUACAGACCCACAGAUGAAUUUCGCACUCUUAGUGAAGCCAUGGGAAGUAGUGUUGCUUGGCCAAAGAGUAGUAUUAGACAUAUUAAUUAAGGUAUAUUUUCUAGAUUUAUAACAUAUGCGCAUUCUAUUUAUGUUUUCUUUCCAUCUCAAAUAGUAUUUAGUGUUGGUUGGUUGGUACAUACGAAGUGGUUUCAUGUAAUUGGUUGGUUGGUUAGUGAGAUUUUGGCAGUGAUGAUUAAUAUGUUACUUGACUUAAUUCUUAGGUUUCAUUCAAUAAGUUUUUUUAUUAUUGAAUGGUUGAAACAUGAUUUCAUGCUGAGGCUAGAAUUCUUGCAGUGAGUAAUUUUUUAAUGUGUGGGCAACAUGAUUUUGUGCUAAGCCUGAAAUGCCUUUGUGAUUGUCUUAAUUUUUCACAAUUAAGUAUGUCUCAUUGAAAAGGAGAAGUUUUGCUAUUUGAAUGUUUAUUUGUUAUUUAGUGGUUGUUGGCUAAAAACACUUCUACAGAUCUCGUUGAUUGCAGGCCGAUCUUUCUCCAACAACAAGUUUCUUUUUCAAGUGAGAUUGAUGCAAGGCUCGUUGAAUAGAGAUUGUUCCAUUGGUAAUGGUAUUGAUUAAGUAACAUGAGACGGUUUCAAGAUUAAGUUUCGAUUUUUGUAGUUUCCUAAUUACAUUUUGGUAGUACAUGUUUGGAGACUUUUAAUUUAAUUUUGGAAAAGAUUAUGUGUUGAAUAUUUUACAAAAUUAAUGAGUGCAUGUUUCUUAGUUUAUUA
rnacentral:lncRNA from 1 species